rnacentral:rRNA from 1 species
UACGAAGGGGGCUAGCGUUGCUCGGAAUCACUGGGCGUAAAGGGUGCGUAGGCGGGGCUUUAAGUCAGGGGUGAAAUCCUGGAGCUCAACUCCAGAACUGCCUUUGAUACUGAGGAUCUUGAGUUCGGGAGAGGUGAGUGGAGCUGCGAGUGUAGAGGUGAAAUUCGUAGAUAUUCGCAAGAACCCCAGUGGCGAAGGCGGCUCACUGGCCCGAUACUGACGCUGAGGCACGAAAGCGUGGGGAGCAAACAGG